AAAGGUUCACCUCUUGCGACCCUAUAACGUGACAGUGACAGUAUCCGAUUGACAUACCGGAAGGCAUAUGGGAGGCUAUGCCAGGCGUGAAUACUAAAGAUCACUCGCCAUUGAUGAACAUCGCAUCAGAAACUUCCCGGCUCUCUCUCAUCCGUCCGAUGAGCCCGUGCAGCGCCCUGUAGAUCCCUUCCGCCUCCGGGUGGUUCCGGUCCCCAGUCA
rnacentral:lncRNA from 1 species